ACGAACCUUACUUCGGAUGUAAAUCGCAGCCAUUGUUGUUGUUGUGUUUCGUCUGCUCAUCUCGUAUAUUUGCGCUCAUCUGGUUGAUAGUCAACGAUUCUUACGUCUUGUGCACCAUGAAUCGUUACGUUCAAGAUUUGGAUCUUGUGGUUCGGUUUCCUCUGAAUUUCGCCAUCUGGGCCCCUCCUGCUCCACGCAAAGUAGGUGGCAGUGGCACAUUGGUAGAUUAUAACAUGUCAUGCUUAUGUUAGCAAAUGUCCUCUAAAAACUCUGCUUUAUUCAGAAGAAUACGGAAUAUCUUCACAGACUUCACCCAGUAUCCCUGUAAUUCCUUCCCAGAGUUAGAAACUAACAGUUUUUGUCCACUAGUCCUUAUAAUGAUAACAUAUAGCAAAACCCUUAAAAUGGGCCAAUUUCUACUAGUCCUUAGGAUACCAUUACUAUUGGGCAGUUUGGUAAGGACUACAGGACUAGUACCAGUUUCUAACGCUGCUUCCCCUAUUUCAGUCAUCUUUCUAACAUGUCAAACUAUUUCACAACCCUCAUGCCUUUUCUCCUACUCUAUCACUGUCUACUUAUCUUCCCCUUCCUAUCAGCGUCCUAGUGUCCAGACCCGACCCUACCCCCUCUCAGAUCUGCCCACCCCCCACACACCUGUCUCCUCUCCUGACCCUGUCUCCCUGUCAGUGUCUGUCCCCAUCCCCGACAUCAUCUACAUGGACGACAGUCACUUUGUGGAAAUCCUUCUGGGUGAUGACAAGGAGGCCCGCUCCCCUGUGAGAGAGUUGUUAUCACGUGUGGCCAAGUUUUUCAGGAGAGUGUUCAGUGCUGGCAAGAUGGACGCUUCUUAGUGGCAUCUUGUAACCCUGUACAUAAUCUGAACAGUCACUGUGGGAUAUUUUCAGAUAUAGAGACACAUAAAGGACCUUUUGGACAUUUUACAAUAUUAAUGUUGAUCAAAUAAAUAAUGUGUAUUUU